AGUAUUUCGCCAUUACUCGCUGAUGACUUUAUCCGUUAGACUAACAGCUUUUGUAGACUAAGUAUUUGUUUUUUUAUCGUAAUAACGAUUAACGGUUUUAAAAUAGCUCUUCGAACUAAAAUUCUAUUUAAGUUGUGUUGUAAAAAUUUGGCAAUAUUUUUCUUUCAAAAACACCUACUUAAUCAAAAUCUUGUUAUUUUUGAGUUUCAAAACGUUUAAUAAUACGCGCCGACGAAACUUUAAUUUACCACAAGUAUUUUUUCAUAAAAAAUGCAGUCUUCUGCUAUAUCUAUUACGCCUUACAACGCCGCUGAGUUAAAAUUUUGGCCACUCAACUUUAAAACAACUAAACUCUCGUUUGGAAUUAUAAUUAAUAAAUGAUAGCAGUUAAAGCAGUUUCCACCAUAAAUUAGUGACGAUUUGAUAGAUAAUUAAACAGUUUUAAACGAAAAAUUUAGUUAACGCUUCCAAAAAAGCGAAUGCACAUUAAAAUGAACAUUGGUUGGAAUUUUUUUAUAGAAAGAAGAAAAUUUUGGGGCCGAUAGUGUUGUUAAAACUACACGAAAGUUAAUAUACGAUAAAGAUUCAACUUAAAAUUUUGUGACAAGUUGACUUUAUACUGAUAAUAUCGAAUAAAAAAAUUUCAACUGAAGUAAACUUGAGUUGUGAGUUGUAAUGGGGAGAUUUUAUCAUAAAAAAACACCCAAAAGCGUUCCUAACCAUAAACACAUUUUUGGUGUAAUGUAAAUGUUGGGUUAAAUUUAACAAAUAACUGAUAAAAUUGUGCCAGAACUAAUCUUAGAUUGUCAUAUACAUACAACCGUUUUUAUAUUCGUGUGCAAAUCGAUCUUCUUAUGUCAAUUAGUUUGUAUUUGGUAGCAGUUGUUUACGAAAAGCAAAUUUGGUCUGUCGAUUUUUACCAUGGGAAAAGUUUUGAAAAACGAGUUUGUUUGAAUUUUUGUUUUUGUAAUGGAAUUACAAACGGAAUCAUUACAAAUGUUGCUGAAGUACGUUGUGGCGUCUACUUUACCACGAAUCCAAUUAUUUAUGUGGCACAAAGCAUUCAGUGACGGCCGUAAAGUCAACGAAAGGUUGCCGCAAGCGAGUCGUGCCCUACACCACUGUUAAUGGCGAUAACAUCAAAUCAAACUUUUUCAGAGAAACAGUGCUUGAAAAUCGCCAUGUCGUCAUCAAAGAGAUAACAGAGUAUCUCAACAUCUCUUAAGGAUCGUUUCAACACAUUUUAGUUAAUGUUUUGGGUAUGCAGCGUGUCAAUGUUAGACUCGUAAAAGAAAGACUUGAAGCUUUGGCAAAAACGACGUCGAGUUAAGGUCGCGAAAUAAAUGCUUAACAACGUAGCUGAGAACCCUAAGAUCAUCAUCGCAUCAAGACUAAUUUGAUACUGGUCAAUUCCUAAGGAAUUAUCCACGUUUUCACUAAGAGCAACUUAAGGGAUUAUGUUCACUUGUGAAACCGAUUUUUUUCUUAUAUAUCACAUGUACAAUUUGUAUUUGGACCGGCAAAGAGUUUCAGAGACACGAGCGUGUUUAUAGGAAUUUUUAACUUAGUGUAAUCGGCUACCAAAACUUUAAAAGCGUUUUUCUCGAAAUACUGUUUUCAAAGCCGCUGAGGAAAAUUUGUCCUAAGCCGCUGAAGCGAUCAACUUGCAAUUACAUGACCUUGUUAUAUUUGUCAGAAUACCUUUUUUCUAAGGUUCUCCUGGAGAUCGGGUACGGGAUCAAAGAAAUCCAAAAUAUUUCAAAAUAAAUCGCCGAUAAUUUAAGUACUUUAAAUUAUAAUAUUAUAUAAUACUAUUAAUGGUCAUUAUUUUUAUUUAUUUAUUAAAUAAAAUGUCUCUUCAAAACAAAUUCACAAAACAACA